AUCUUGGUUGGCCACAGGCUCCUUCUUGUCCUUCUUUAUCCUGCUCUUGCUGGCCCGGGAGAUGUGCCAGUAUAACACAGUCAUGAUGAUCACAGUUCUCACCCCCACAAUGAACUGCCAGAAGAGAAUGGCCGGAGCCCAGAGGAUGAAGGACAGGACCCAGGCCGCGGCGAUCAUCAUGCCUGCCAUUUUGGUGGUCCGCUUGACAGGGAGUGAGCCCACUGGAUCAAGAUGUGGGUGCAAGCAUUCUUUUGGCUCCCGCCAUGAUGAUUUUCCAGGAUGGCUGCAGCAGACCUAGGACUCUGAUCAG